rnacentral:sRNA from 1 species
UCUGGAGCUUAUGUCUCCUCCGGAGUUACGGAAAAAGACCGAGAGGCGUCGUCAGCGAUGACGGCGGACUCCGACAGCGAUUGACUGACUAUCGGGUCAUCAGCUGAAGAAAACGACGAGAGAUUCAAAAAAACAGGAUGAACGCCAAGCUUCUUGUCUGCUGCAAUUAUAUAACGCAUUAUCCUUUGGCACGGACAAAGGUUGAAGUGCAGUCCCUUAGCUCAGUUGGUUAGAGCGCUACACUGAUAAUGUAGAGGUCGGCAGUUCAACUCUGCCAGGGACUACAGAAAACGAGAGAACAUUGACAUACUGGAAGGAAGGAAACGUCAACUGCAAGACGGAAGUCUUCGGAAGACGUGACCGAGAAAAAUAAACGAGUAAAUCAGAAACGAGCGAUCGGGCGACCUAAAAAAGGUAAGUUCGAACGACGAAGCGACGGACGGCGGAGUAGAAAUAUUCCGCAGGUCAAGCGACAGAACAAGGAAGGGAGAAAAGGGCACAUGAAGGAUGCCUAGGCUCUUGGAGACGAUGAAGGACGUGACAAGCUGCGAAAAGCCGCGGUUAGGGGCAAAUACCCAUUGACCCGCGGAUGUC